UACGUAGGAUGCAAGCGUUGUCCGUUUUUAUUGGGUUUAAAGGGUGCAUAGGCGGCUUAUUAAGUUAGUGGUGAAAACGUUCGGCUUAACCGGAUACCCGCCAUUGAUACUGAUAGACUUGAGUGCGACAGAGGGUGUUGGAAUGUGUGGUGUAGCGGUGAAAUGCUUAGAUAUCACGCAGAACACCAAUUGCGAAGGCAGAUGCGUAUGUCGUAACUUACGGUGAGUCAAGAAAGCGUGGGGAGCAAACAGG
rnacentral:rRNA from 1 species